rnacentral:sRNA from 1 species
CUCCUGCCCGGCGAGCAGCUCAGACCAUGUCGCCUGAAGAAUGGACGUAUCUAGUGGUUCUUCUUAUCUCCAUCCCCAUCGGCUUCCUCUUUAAGAAAGCCGGUCCUGGGCUGAAGAGAUGGGGAGCAGCCGCUGUGGGCCUGGGGCUCACCCUGUUCACCUGUGGCCCCCACACUUUGCAUUCUCUGGUCACCAUCCUCGGGACCUGGGCCCUCAUUCAGGCCCAGCCCUGCUCCUGCCACGCCCUGGCUCUGGCCUGGACUUUCUCCUAUCUCCUGUUCUUCCGAGCCCUCAGCCUCCUGGGCCUGCCCACUCCCACGCCCUUCACCAAUGCCGUCCAGCUGCUGCUGACGCUGAAGGUCAGACUCGGGGCUUGCCACUCCCCUCCAGCCUCCCUGUGGGCCCCUUCACCUCCCACUUUACCUCCCCCUUCAGCGACUCCCCGGGAUUUUACCUCCAACACACCCUGGGGGUGGGACGUCACCUCACUUGCUGCCCUGGGCACAGCAUUCCCCAUUCACAUGCCUUUGGGCAGGUCUUCACCUCCCAGCUCCUCCUGGGGUG